GAACGAACGCUGGCGGCAUGCCUAACACAUGCAAGUCGAACGAGACCUUCGGGUCUAGUGGCGCACGGGUGCGUAACGCGUGGGAACCUGCCUUUAGGUUCGGAAUAACUCAGAGAAAUUUGAGCUAAUACCGGAUAAUGUCUUCGGACCAAAGAUUUAUCGCCUUUAGAUGGGCCGCGUUGGAUUAGCUAGUUGGUGGGGUAAAGGCCUACCAAGGCGACGAUCCAUAGCUGGUCUGAGAGGAUGAUCAGCCACACUGGGACUGAGACACGGCCCAGACUCCUACGGGAGGCAGCAGUGGGGAAUAUUGGACAAUGGGCGAAAGCCUGAUCCAGCAAUGCCGCGUGAGUGAUGAAGGCCUUAGGGUUGUAAAGCUCUUUUACCCGAGAUGAUAAUGACAGUAUCGGGAGAAUAAGCUCCGGCUAACUCCGUG
rnacentral:rRNA from 1 species